ensembl:lncRNA ANKRD34C-AS1 ANKRD34C antisense RNA 1
AGCCGGGCUGUUCCACGCUCACUGUGCGCCUCGGGCGGCGGGGCUCGGGCUCUGUCCGAGGUGCUGAACUCCGGGGCUCCGGCCGCGCCGGCAGAGUGUGCCAGCGUCCAUUAUUGCCAGUGUCUGUGGGCAUCUUCCAGAAGGCCGAGCAUGGGGGUCAGGUGAAACCAGGGCGCUCCCAAGCACCUUGCCCAGUAGAGCCCCCUUGCACCCUGCUUGGUUGGUCAGCACCCCAUGGACAUGCAGCCUUGACCUUGGCAUGGGAAGCCUCCACUGUGUCAAGCCCAACAUCCAGGCCUCUGAAGACAGUCAUUCAGCCAUGUGAGACUCGCCUGCUUCUCCUUUGCCUCCCACCAUGACUGUAAGUUUCCUGCGACCUCCCCAGCCGUGCUUCCUGUACAGCCUGCAGAACUGUUCAUAGGCAGAAGUAACUUGCCUUGUCUCAGAUGAAGCUUUGGACUGUGGACUUUUGAGUUAAUGCUGAAAUGAGUUAAGACUUUGGGGGACUGUUGAGAAGACAUGAUUGGUUUGAAAUGUGAGGACAUGAGAUAUGGGAGGGGCCGAGGUGGAACGAUAUGGUUUGGCUGUGUCCCCACCCAAAUCUCAUCUUGAAUUGUAGCUCUCACAAUUCCCACAUGUCAUGAGAGGGACCUGGUGGGAGAUAAUUGAAUCACUGGGGCGGGUCUUUUUCGUGCCAUUCUCAUGAUAACAAAUAAGUCUCAUGAGGUCUGAUGGUUUUAUAAGGGGGGGUUUCCCUGCACAAGUUCUCUCUUCCCUGCCACCAAGUAACACAUGUCUUUUGCCUUCUGCCAUGACUGUGAGGCCUCCCCAGCCAUGUGGAAUUGUACUUCCAUUAAACGUCUUUUCCUUUAUAAAUUACCCAAUCUCAGGUAUGUCUUUAUCAGCAGCACAAGAACAGACUAAUACACUAUGGGUGCCCCAAAUUCUGCACACUGAGGAAAUCUCCCUUGAUUAAUGUUCUACAUGCCCAUGUAUUAGAUAGGUUUUGGGAGGGAUUCCCCUUCUAGAGGAUACACUGCCCUAGAAUUCUAUUUUCUGGUGGCAUAAUUAAGGGGGUCUGGGGGUUGUCUUUUGGUUUGAGUAAUCACAGAUCCAAUUUUCCAGUUUAGUUAUAUUAGGCCAUCUAACUCCUUUAAAAUUCUGGUCUUUUACCUGAAAAUUGUUUUCUGGUAUCUCCUUUGAGCUGAAAUACCCACAAGAGAAAUCCUGCUAAGUUAUAGUCUUUGAAUCUGAACACAUCUAUUGUCAUUUCUGUCAUUCAGAAAUAAUCUUCUCAGAAAAUUUGGACUGAAUUGACUUUUGGUAAAUAAAAUUCUGGUGCAUUUUCAUAUUGAAUCUGUAUUUCCUCUAAAAUUGUUUAAGAACAACCUGAUUUAAGUGCACUUGAAAAUAACACAAUGAAAACAUUUUCUAAGCUAUCCAAACCUUAGUUCUGUUAUAAUCACAUGCAAGCAGAAAAAACCCACCCACUCUCCAGAAGUUCAGUGGGGAAUAAACAUCGACUUUUUGUAUAAUAUAAGAUGACUGAUAGGCACAAUCAUAACUAUAUUGUCAGGCAUUUUUGCCACUAUAUUCAGAGUCAAAGUUAGCUAGCCAAGUUAACUUUGUUUGAAAACCAAAUGAAAUGUCAAUCUAUCAAACUUUUGGGGUUCUGUCUCUAAAGCUGGAGUUGAAACUCAUUCAUGUCUGUAGAACAAUUUCCCCACUCUUCCUUAAUCGUAUAGCAGUGUCUGUACAAAAUAAAUAAGUUUGUGAGUAUAUAAAUUAACCAUCCUUCUUUUGGAUGGUUAUAUUUUCAUUUGACAAAGCAGUCUGGGAGUUAUCUGGUUAUUUUUAUUAGCACAGAUCACUGCAUUGAUUAGAAUUCUGGGCUGCAAGCAACAAAGACCAAGUCUAGCUGAUGACACAGAAAAUUAGUUCAUUAAAGGAGAGUGCAUUGCUCCCUAAACUUUUGGAAAAGCUGAAGCUUGAGUCUAAGAUUUACACAUCAAUGACCAAACCACACCAUAGAACUGUCCUACUGAUGAGUCCUCCUUCACUUCUUCCACCACCACUGUCCCCCUGGUUCCACUCCACCUUGCAGAUUGACAUGAUUUGGUUGUAUCCCCACCCAAAUUUCAUAUCAAAUUGUAAUCUGAAUUGUAAUCUCCACCUGCUGAGGAGGGACCUGGUGGGAGGUGACUGGGUGGUUUCCCCCAUGCUA